UAUUGCAAAAUAAGGUCACCGAGACCUACUUUUUCAAUAAUUAUAUUAGGGCAACAUAAAUGGACAUCUAGGAUGAGAAGACAUGCCGAUAGCUAAUAUGGCAAAAUUAGGUCACUGACCUUUUUCAAUAAUUAUAUUAGGGCAACAGAAAUGGACAUCUAGGAUAAAUGCAUGCCGAUAACUGAUAUUGCAAAAUUAGGUCACUGUUACCUACUUUUUCAAUAAUUAUAUUAGGCAAUUAUUUUGUCUAGAUUGCCUCAAUAAGUUGACAAUAUACUGUAUUGUCAUUACUUCUUCAACUUAAUAUGUAUAUGUAUAUCGAAAUACAUGUAUUGCAAACAUGCCAUUCGACAUUUUGUUGAAGCUUCCUGUGGAUGAUCAGCAUCGCACACAGAUGGAUUUCCAUUGUGUUUGAAAUAACUACAUCAUUCAAGAUAUCCACCAUUUUUUUGCCAUCUCCAGAAUCACAUUCUCCAGAAAUUUUAACGUUACAUUCUUUGAGAUAGACCCUUGGUAAUAUACUGCCCACCAGCCAUGCAGCUAUCAGCCUCUAGUUGGUUCGUAGAGGGAUGUAAAAAAAUGAUAUGGGGCUAUAAUCACAGCAGGUGAGCGUUUAGGCCUACAGGCCUCUUGUUGCAAUUAUUUUGGGAUCUAAGUUAAGCCCGAGAGGUAAGGAAAUGCUGCUGUAAUUAGACACACUAUGUGCCUCACCUGUCAUGUCAUUAAUUGCAGACUGUACUGGUGACUGGAGUGAUGGUGAUGGUGAUGUUGAAAUCACAUGCCCAGAAGAUGAGAGAUUCACAGAUUGCAGUGUAGAUGCUGUCGCAGCAGAGUGGCUGGGCAUCUGCGGCCUGUUUAUACCAGCGAGUAUAUUGUGGAGCAGUUCAUAUGUGGCUUGGAUUUCAACGCAAGGUACUAACAUUGUUAGCAGAGAUUAGAGACAUGCACAGCCAUCGGGUCCUGGAGGAUGAUGGUAAAAUAUCUCACCUGCAACAAAUGGAUUCAUUAGAGAAACUGGAAGGAUUUGAGAAGGAAAUUGAUGAGCCCACAAAGAAGAAGGCUGUGAAAGGACUAUAUAUCUAGGAUCGGAGGGGUUGACGCCAACAGCCAUGUAAAAAAACCCAUGAAAAGCUGUCCCUCAAAUGCUGUGAUGGCAAAAAUGAAUCUUUGCGGGAAGAAGAACAAGCUUGCCUUUGGAAAAACAACUCUAUGCCAAAUAAUCACUGAAGCUGUCACAGAAAUCCACCCGGAAGCAACUGUUCAUUCAUGCCAAAGGUGGAAGUCGCAAUAUUUGAAGUAUGCACCAGAACGUGUUGGUGGAGGAGGGCGGCAGACGGCUGAAGUCAUUAUUUAAAAAUAAACUGUGUAUUGAAUGAAAAAAAAUGUUUGU